rnacentral:rRNA from 1 species
CCCUGCCAUUUGUACACACCGCCCGUCGCUUCAACCGAUUGGAUGAUCCGGUGAAUGACUCGGAUUGAUGAAAGUGUGGAAACAUGCUUUUAUUAAGAAGUUUUGUGAACCAAAUUAUCUAGAGGAUG